rnacentral:rRNA from 1 species
GACGAACGCUGGCGGCGUGCUUAACACAUGCAAAUCGAACGAUGAAGCCGGAGCUUGCUCUGGUGAAUUAGUGGCGGACGGGUGAGUAACACGUGAGUAACCUGCCCUUGACUCUGGGAUAACUGCGGGAAACUGUAGCUAAUACCGGAUACGACCCUCGGAGGCAUCUCCUGGGGGUGGAAAGAAUUUCGGUCAAGGAUGGACUCGCGGCCUAUCAGCUAGUUGGUGAGGUAAAGGCUCACCAAGGCGACGACGGGUAGCCGGCCUGAGAGGGUGACCGGCCACACUGGGACUGAGACACGGCCCAGACUCCGACGGGAGGCAGCAGUGGGGAAUAUUGCACAAUGGGCGCAAGCCUGAUGCAGCAACGCCGCGUGAGGGAUGACGGCCUUCGGGUUGUAAACCUCUUUUAGCAGGGAAGAAGCGAAAGUGACGGUACCUGCAGAAAAAGCACCGGCUAACUACGUGCCAGCCGCCGCAGUAA